UACAGAGGUCUCAAGCGUUGUUCGGAAUCACUGGCCGUAAAGGGCGUGUAGGCGGUCAGGUAAGUGAGACGUGAAAUGCCCCGGCUUACCCGGGGACCUGCGUCUCAUACUGCUUGGCUUGAGUACGGGAGAGGGUGUGGGAAUUCCUGGUGUAGCGGUGAAAUGCGUAGAUAUCAGGAGGAACACCGGUGGCGAAGGCGCACACCUGGCCCGAUACUGACGCUGAGGCGCGAAAGCUAGGGGAGCAAACGGG
rnacentral:rRNA from 1 species